UAGAGUUUGAUCCUGGCUCACGAUGAACGCUAGCUACAGGCUUAACACAUGCAAGUCGAGGGGCAGCAUCGCGAUAGCUUGCUAUUGCGGAUGGCGACCGGCGCACGGGUGAGUGACGCGUAUCCAACCUUCCCGCAACUGGGGAAUAACCUUGCGAAAGUAAGACUAAUACCCCAUGGUCUCCACGGAUGGCAUCUGAAAUGGAGUAAAGGUUUCGGCCGGUUGCGGAUGGGGAUGCGUCCGAUUAGCUUGACGGCGGGGUAACGGCCCACCGUGGCAUCGAUCGGUAGGGGUUCUGAGAGGAAGGUCCCCCACAUUGGAACUGAGACACGGUCCAAACUCCUACGGGAGGCAGCAGUGAGGAAUAUUGGUCAAUGGGCGGAAGCCUGAACCAGCCAAGUAGCGUGAAGGACGACUGCCCUAUGGGUUGUAAACUUCUUUUAUGCGGGGAUAAAGUUCGCCACGUGUGGCGUUUUGCAGGUACCGCAUGAAUAAGGACCGGCUAAUUCCGUGCCAGCAGCCGCGGUAAUACGGAAGGUCCACGCGUUAUCCGGAUUCAUUGGGUUUAAAGGGAGCGUACGCCGCCCUUUAAGCGUGUUGUGAAAUGUAGGGGCUCAACCCCUGCCCUGCACCGCCAACUGCACGGCUUGACUACACACAAAGUAGGCGGAAUUCAUGGUGUAGCGGUGAAUGCUUAGAUAUCAUGAAGAACCCCGAUUGCGAAGGCAGCUUACUGGAGUGUAACUGACGCUGAAGCUCGAAAGCGCGGGUAUCGAACAGGAUUAGAUACCCUGGUAGUCCGCGCGGUAAACGAUGGAUGCCCGCUGUUUGCCACUUUGGUAAGCGGCCAAGCGAAAGCGUUAAGCAUCCCACCUGGGGAGUACGCCGGCAACGGUGAAACUCAAAGGAAUUGACGGGGGCCCGCACAAGCGGAGGAACAUGUGGUUUAAUUCGAUGAUACGCGAGGAACCUUACCCGGGCUUGAAUUGCAGGAGAACGAUCCAGAGAUGGUGAGGCCCUUCGGGGCUCCUGUGAAGGUGCUGCAUGGUUGUCGUCAGCUCGUGCCGUGAGGUGUCGGCUUAAGUGCCAUAACGAGCGCAACCCCUCUCCGUAGUUGCCAUCGGGUGAAGCCGGGCACUCUGCGGAUACUGCCACCGUAAGGUGUGAGGAAGGUGGGGAUGACGUCAAAUCAGCACGGCCCUUACGUCCGGGGCUACACACGUGUUACAAUGGGGCAUACAGAAAGCAGGCGGCCGGCAACGUCCGUCUAAUCAUCAAAGUGUCCCUCAGUUCGGACUGGGGUCUGCAACCCGACCCCACGAAGCUGGAUUCGCUAGUAAUCGCGCAUCAGCCAUGGCGCGGUGAAUACGUUCCCGGGCCUUGUACACACCGCCCGUC
rnacentral:rRNA from 1 species